AUUGAACGCUGGCGGCAUGCCUUACACAUGCAAGUCGAACGGUAACAGGUCUUCGGAUGCUGACGAGUGGCGCACGGGUGAGUAAUACAUCGGAACGUGCCCGAUCGUGGGGGAUAACGAGGCGAAAGCUUUGCUAAUACCGCAUACGAUUUACGGAUGAAAGCGGGGGAUCUUCGGACCUCGCGCGGACGGAGCGGCCGAUGGCAGAUUAGGUAGUUGGUGGGAUAAAAGCUUACCAAGCCGACGAUCUGUAGCUGGUCUGAGAGGAUGAUCAGCCACACUGGGACUGAGACACGGCCCAGACUCCUACGGGAGGCAGCAGUGGGGAAAUUUUGACAAUGGGCCAAAGCCUGGUCCAAGCAAGGCGGGUUGAAGAAGAAGGCCUUUUGGUUGUAAAAUUGUUUUGUUAGGGACGAAAAGGCCUCUUUCAAAUAAGGGGGGUUAAGACGGGAACGGAAGGAUUAGGAACGGCCAACCACGGU
rnacentral:rRNA from 1 species